rnacentral:tRNA from 1 species
AGGGUUUUAAUUUAAGAAAAUAUUGAGUUUUCAAGACGGAUAAUAAAUAAUAUUAUUUAAAUUCUG